UGUGCUGUGAUGUGGUCGGAAGCCAGAUAAUAAUAGAAGGUCAAAGACAAGAAACAGGAGUUAUUCCAACAUUUUCUUAUAUUUGGAGAAUGUAUGUAAAAUCCAUAGUAUUAAAACAAACAAGCAAACAAACAAACAAAAAAACUAUUGAAGUCAAUGGGGACCAAGAAAUAUUUGGUUGCCAACAUUCUUCAAAAUAUUUGUUCUCAGCAGAAGAAAGAAACUUAUAAAAGUUGAAGGAGAGUAAAUGCUGAGAGAGUUUUCUCCUUCAUCGGUGGAAGAAACACAAGCUCAGACGCCCAUCAAGCAAGAGUUUCAGAGUUUUACAAAAACACGUCUGAGAUGUGAGCCACUCAUUUCUUCAUCUCACUGCUUUAACUUUGCAGAUCGGCUCUUUUCAUAUCUCUGUAGAUGGUUUCUUCAUGCUGUGUGGGGUUUUUCACUUUCUAAAAGUUUGACAAACUAAUAAUCAGACAAAGUCAAGAGCAUCAAAAUGAAAGUUUAAACUCAUUAUUAACAUGUGGUUACUUUGAGCGAGUUAUGAGAGCAAGGAAAGGAGCAGUUAAAAGCAGAAAUAAAUGAAGAGAAAAUGUGUUGUCUACAAAAUUUAAAUGGAAUUAAAAGAAAACAAAAAUGGAAGCACAUUUCUAGCCAUCAGUUCUAGAGCUGAUGAGUUUAGUAUGAUCCUCCAGUCAAGGAUACAGUGAUGAAGCAGACCUGUGAAUGAAGUGUGUGAAUCCCCGUCCCGACGCCGCUGUGUGAAGGUGUUUCCAGCACAGACUGAUGGCUAAUUUCUCUCAGCACUGGAAUUCACUCUUAAAGAAACACUUCGCCCCCAAAUUGUGUCAUUAUGUACUGGUGUGAGUUAGGGUUUGAGAUCAGUGAAAGUGACCAUUAUCAGUCAAUAUGUUCCUACAUUUAUGCAUUUGGCAGAUGCUGACAUUACAAUUAAGGGGUAAGGGUUUGAUCAGUUAAUUAAUCGCAUUCUGCUUUUGUGUUCACGUGUGACACACAACAAAACAAGAUGAUAAUGGAGUGAUUAAUAAAACAAGCUGAAUUAUUUAAUGAAAAUGAAAUUUAAUUCCAUGACUCUCUCGCAGACAUCACAAAGGUCAGUCUUAAUCAUCUUAAUUAAUCUAAUCCCUAAAACAAGAUUUAGAUUAAACUGUAAUCUUCAUUUGUGGAUGAGACGUCUCUUGUGUUGCGGUCGAGUCGGUCAGGUGUGUUUUUAAUAUUGUACUAGAAACAUUAAAAAUCGAUUUUUGUAAUUUCUCUGCAAAUAGAUCUUUUUUCUUUUGGUGAGUGACAGUCAUCAUCAUUUACUUGCAGUCAGUGUAUCAGAUGUCUUUAUGAAGGAAGAUGAGCAGUGAUUGAUUAUAAAGUGAAAAGUGAUAGGUACUGUCCUGUAUUUCUGAUUUAUAGUUUCUUCCUUCAUAUAAUGUGUUGAACACAUGUCAUGAGAUGAGUUUGAGAGAAAUCAGAGCUGUGGGGUUCAUACGUGUAUCACUGUAUCAUGUGACCCCUGACCCCUCGUCAGGCUUCUGCUAAUGACCCUUUACUCCUGAGAACUGCCCAAUUAAAGCACAGUACAAUUUCAUAAAUGAAAGGUUUAAUGCACACAUAGCAGGCGAUAUCUUCAUCUCUAUAGUAGAACAUUUUGCAUCUCUACUUUGUCUGAAACACCUGUUUCAGGUCUUGGAGUCUCUACUAAUGAGCUGAUGAUCUGAAUCAGGUGUGUUUGAUUAAGGAGACAUGGAAAACCUGCAGUGUUGUUGGGACUCCGGGAACGUGGAUGGGAACCACUGCAGUAAAAUACCAUUUAAAUCUGUAUAAAUUAAAGGUAAUACAUUAAAUACAUCCAGCGUAUAGAACCAGCUUUCUGUUUUUUUCUGAGUAUAAAUGUGCUUCACUGGCAAGAAAAUUAUGAUUUUUUCUUUUAUUUAGGGGAUGAAAGCUGACUUGGCCUGCUUUGUUGAGAUUCACCCUGUGCUCUUUGACCCCGUGACCCUCAGCAGUGUGUUAGCAGCAGUGAACACCCACAGACCACACGACAGAUAUUAGCUUCCCUCCCUCGAGCACUGAUAAACACCUGCUCUUACCGGACACGCUCACAUUCUUCCAAGAAUAGCUGUGUUUUGUAUAUUGUGUGGCCUGUUUUUCUGCAUCCAACUCGACACAUUCUCAGAGCUGCACUCAGCGCUUCACAUGUUCUGCAUCAAACAUGUUUCACUCAGUGUAAGAAUGAGUUUCAGUGAGUUUCAUUGAUGGUGGACAACAUUAACGUUGGAGUCACAGUGACUGUCCGCUCUCGUGAUUCAGAGCUGUUCCACAGCAGUCUUUCUUCUCAGAAGCAUAAAACACAUGAGGAGGGUUAUGUUUCUCUUCUGUAGCUUUUUCUUAGCUGUAAUUGGCGAACGAGUCAUUAACCAUGAUGUCACUGCGAGCGCUUGCUUGUGUGUUUGACUGGUUGAACUCUUCAUGAACUUGUAACCGUCUGUGAAUCACAGUGACAUGAUGUGCAGACGCUCGUGAGGAAACCAGCUGAUUGUGAGGAGAUUUCUUAUUAAUUAGUGCUCUGAAUCAUGUGGGCUGUUUCUCCUGCUUUGUAUUCACUGAUUAUUGGACAUUAGUGUACUAGGGUUCCUCAGUAAAGAUGGUCACACCUAAUCUCUGUCUCUAUGGUCUCUACGAAUCGCUCACUCGUGCGGCCGGGUCUAUACAGAUAUAAAACAGAUUACAGCUUGAUUUAUAGUUAUUCACACAGAAAGGGUUAAGAGUGUUACUAACUGUAUUUAACCGAAUACACUUAUACGGUGUAUGAAUCAUGCUGUCGAAGAGUGAGUGUGAGAAGCUCAGGACAGCAGAGGAGACGUGGUGAGCUCCUGAUGAAGUGUGUGUGUGUGUGUGUGCCCACUCAUGCUCUUCUGUCUCUAUAGCCAAGAUGUGACACCUGCUGAAUCACCAGUGAGAUUCACCUGAGUCAUUUAGCAAAGAUAAAUAGAGGCUUCAGCAGCAGCGAGACACACAGAACGCUGAAGCUUCACUGACGCUUGUGUUCAUUAGAAAGAGCCAGGGCCGACAGCGGGUCACGACCUCCACGGGCUUUCAGGUUUUUUAUUUUAUUUUUGGUUUGCUAAAUUGAGCUCAAGCCAGAUUUUCCAGCUUCAAAUGUUUUUCUUUGCAAUUCUCUCUCCUGCUUUGUAUUCAGCGGCUCGUCUUGGCGCUGGUCUGAAAAACACAAAAGUGGGUCAGAAGCAAAUAAUUUCUUGAACCCAGCGAAUGUCAGAAGACAUGAAGGUUCUGAGGGCAUUUUAAUAACUGCCACCAAUAUUCACCCCCGCGGACCGACAGGCGGAGAGCGGCCGGUGACUGCAGGCUCAGGCGUGUAAUUUCAGUGCCGGGACCAAGAUUUUUUAAGUAAGCCCUUGCAGUGCGCUCGUAUGAUGAAAUGCAUUGAGGCAUUUAAUGCUAAACAGACGCCCCAUGAACACGACACUCAGAGAAAGGCAUCAGUCCAUUAGAAUCAGUCAAAUCAUGUGUGUGGAGGAGAGCGCUGCGAUCUGCACCUGCUAGACCUACAACUGCAUCGACAACUCCUCCAAAAACCAUUUCCUCACCCGGCUGAAGGCUGGAGUUCCUGAUGUGACUGAUGGUUGUGGAAAGAGCUGCUGAUGAGUCAUGAUGAUCUUCACUCAUUAGUGCUGUUCCCUACAUACUGAACCUGAGAAAGAGCGCAAGAGAAUAGCCAGAAUCCCUUCUGAGCUCUUUCACCACAUUAGGACUCCAGCUGUGAGGAAUGAGACGGACACAAGCAGCUGGAAUCACGCAAUAAACUCUGACCUACAACAACUGCCAAAAAUAAAGAUUCUGUCAUCAUUUGCUCACCAUCAUUUUGGU